rnacentral:lncRNA from 1 species
GAAAAACAAAGAUCUUCUCUUUUUCACCAAUAUGGAACAUUUCCUGAAAAGCAUCCUUGCAUCAGAGCAACAAAUUCUAGGAAUAUCAAGAGAUCAAUUUGGGGGUGAAGAUAAGAUCUAGAAACAAAAUGGUGAUCUCACCUUAGCCUGCAUGAUUAAGAGGCUAAAUGUAUCAAUACAUGG